AAUAUUUACUUUAUAGAAAUGGUUUAGCGUCGUCAGAAAAAGUCCGUUAGCAUCUCAAAGAAGUGCCAGAAAAAAACCUCUAUGACGCAGGAGAAGUUCCUGAUUUUAACAUUUCUGAAGGGAGCUGCUGACAGAGAGGAUGAAAACAUACACAUUUUGAUGUCCACGCUGUAGGAGCAUUACUAAAUAAUGCUUAUGUUCCUAGGUUCUUCCAUGCUGAUGGCUGUGCUCUAGAGUCAUAUCUCCUGUCGAAGAACAUUUUUAGACAUUAUGAACCAUGAAUAAGUUUAGCUCCAACCCCAGUUAAGCAGACCUGAGCAGCUGAUCAAGGAUCAGCAGAAACUCUGCAGAACGGUGGUCCUCCAGCCCAGGACUGGACACCAGUGUUAGUGUCUGUCUUAGAAGCUGAAGAAAAAAGGCCACACCUUAUAGGAAAUAAACGCCUCCUAAGUGUAUGGAAAUACCUGGCUGAGGAGAUCAGUGACAUAAACCAGAUAAAACUGUCAGUGGUCUGAGACGGCUACAAGCCACAAAAAACAGUUCAUAGUUCCUGCAUUUCUAUAAUGCAUAAAUGAAUAACAAUAAUUAAAAUAAAAUGUAAUGUCAAGGUUUUGUGUUAAUUCCAGCUAUGUUGAGUAUUCUGUGAAUAAUUUUGAUUUUAGGUGCAUAUUCUUAAUUCUUUGCAAAACAACUUGAACUGUUUGCUAUUGAAAGGUUGGUAUGAAGUUUAAAUAAAUAAAAACAUUAUAUUCUUGACAAAACCUGUGUACAGUUUGUAUUAAUAAUUUAAAUUAUUUACUUAUAUUAAUUAAUGGCCUAAUUACCAGCUAUCAGUUAAACAUUCAAAUCAGAACCAAUAUAAAACUGCAACGAAAACUAUUAAAUAUAUGCAAAUAAAGACCAGUACAAACUUGCAAUGGAACCAUCAGAACCAUUACAAAACUGACG